CAGGUUUACCUGUGUGACUGCGUACCUUUUGUAUAAUGGGUCAGCGACUUAUAUUCUGUAGCAAGGUUAACCGUAUAGGGGAGCCGGAGGGAAACCGAGUCUUAACCGGGCGUUAAGUUGCAGGGUAUAGACCCGAAACCCGGUGAUCUAGCCAUGGGCAGGUUGAAGGUUGGGUAACACUAACUGGAGGACCGAACCGACUAAUGUUGAAAAAUUAGCGGAUGACCUGUGGCUGGGGGUGAAAGGCCAAUCAAACCGGGAGAUAGCUGGUUCUCCCCGAAAGCUAUUUAGGUAGCGCCUCGUGAAUUCAUCUCCGGGGGUAGAGCACUGUUUCGGCUAGGGGGCCAUCCCGGCUUACCAACCCGAUGCAAACUGCGAAUACCGGAGAAUGUUAUCACGGGAGACACACGGCGGGUGCUAACGUCCGUCGUGAAGAGGGAAACAACCCAGACCGCCAGCUAAGGUCCCAAAGUCAUGGUUAAGUGGGAAACGAUGUGGGAAGGCCCAGACAGCCAGGAUGUUGGCUUAGAAGCAGCCAUCAUUUAAAGAAAGCGUAAUAGCUCACUGGUCGAGUCGGCCUGCGCGGAAGAUGUAACGGGGCUAAACCAUGCACCGAAGCUGCGGCAGCGAACGUAUCACUUAAAGCGAUUCAGCGGGUUACGAUUGACGGAGCGAAGCGACGUCAAAGCGUAUACAAAGUCGAGUCGGUUUAAGGAUACGUUCGUUGGGUAGGGGAGCGUUCUGUAAGCCUG
rnacentral:rRNA from 1 species